rnacentral:lncRNA from 1 species
CUGUGGCUCCUGCACCAUCAGUCUCUCUCCCCCCUCCAGCUCGUUGUGCCAGCAGCUUCUUCGCAUCACACCCGCCCUCCUCCCCUAACGCUUGUGGCUCCUCCAUCCUUGGUGCCCCCCUAACACUUAUGACUCCUCCGCCCUUGGUCCCCCCCUCGAUGCCUGUGGUUCUUGUCAUUGACACCCCAACCCUAUAGUUGCCGACCCUGAGGGACCGUCGUUGCGGCCGCUGGGACCGUCGCCAUGAGAGAUGAGAUUGGAGCUCAAGAGGGAGAGAGAUUAGAGACUCGGAGGAGGAGCACAAAAUCUA